rnacentral:rRNA from 1 species
UACAGAGGUCUCAAGCGUUGUUCGGAUUCAUUGGGCGUAAAGGGUGCGUAGGCGGCGCGGUAAGUCGGGUGUGAAAUCUCGGGGCUUAACUCCGAAACUGCAUUCGAUACUGCCGUGCUUGAGGACUGGAGAGGAGACUGGAAUUACGGUGUAGCGGUGAAAUGCGCAGAUAUCGUAAGGAAGACCAGUGGCGAAGGCGGGUCUCUGGACAGUUCCUGACGCUGAGGCACGAAGGCCAGGGGAGCAAACGGG